AAAUUCAAACCUAAACCCAACCUCUUUAUUAAAUAGAUAAUCCGAUCCGAUCCGUUUAAUCCAUUUAUUAAAUAAAUUAAAUUAGAUUAAACGGACUAAAUAAGUUAAACAGACGAGAUUAAAUGAGUCAGAAACAUGUUAAACAGAUUUUAAACAGGUUAAACGGAUCUUAAAUGGGUUAAACAUGUCAAAUUAAAUGGGUCAGAAAUAGAUUAAACAUGUUAAAUGGAUUAUCUGACUCAAUUCAAUCUGAAUAUUAAACGGAUUAAAUGAGUCAGAUAUGUAAAACCCAAAUCC
rnacentral:lncRNA from 1 species